AAAAAAAUCUGAGUUUCUCCGUACAGCUCCCAUUCGUCUCAACCCGUCAUGAUCAUCACUCGCCGGAAAACCUUACAACCAUCUGCAUAAGAAAUUUGCAGGAUUUUCAUGUAGCUAUUCUGGUAAUUUAUUGAAUUAUAUAUAUACAGAUUUGGGGGGGAGCGAUGGGAGCUGUAACGUCGUCUAUGGCGGCAAAGUUUGCAUUUUUUCCGCCUAAUCCGCCGUCGUAUGGGGUGGUGGUGGAAGAAUCGACCGGAAAACUUAAGAUGACAGAGGUGGUUCAAGGGGAAGACGUUGACAUUUUGAAGCUAGAGACGAAGAAGGGGACGGAGAUUAUUGCUAUGUACGUGAGGAAUCCGGCCGCGAAGUUGACCGUGCUUUACUCACAUGGAAACGCUGCUGAUUUAGGGCAGAUGUACGAUUUGUUUACAGAACUCAGUCUCCAUCUCCGGGUCAAUUUGAUGGGGUAUGACUAUUCAGGGUAUGGCCAGUCCACUGGCAAGCCAAGUGAGCAGAACACUUACGCCGAUAUAGAAGCUGCAUAUCAGUGUCUUGAAGAGACAUAUGGGGUGAAAGAGGAGGAUAUAAUAUUAUAUGGACAGUCUGUUGGUAGUGGACCAACAGUAGAUAUGGGAUCCCGCUUAUCAAGAUUGAGGGGACUGGUUCUGCACAGCCCGAUACUCUCUGGAGUUCGUGUCUUGCAUCCAGUUAAGCGGACAUACUGGUUUGACAUAUUUAAGAACAUUGACAAGAUACCAUUGGUUGAAUGUCCGGUCCUCAUUAUUCAUGGCACCGCAGAUGAUGUUGUGGAUUGUUCCCAUGGUAAGCAGCUGUUUGAUCUAUGUAAGCAAAAAUAUGACCCGUUGUGGGUUGAAGGAGGUAACCAUUGUGAUCUAGAGCUCUAUCCCGAGUACAUAAAACAUCUGAAGAAGUUCAUAUCAGCUAUUGAGAAAUCGACGGUUUCUCCCAAUGGAAAUGCGCAAAGUAUGGACCAAAUAGAUAAACCUUGAAAAGUCAAGAUAGCAGAUGCACAUACCAGACAGAGAAAUCUAGAUCAAGUACAGAAAAGAGAGUGAAAAGCAUACCAGCAAAACACAGAUCGAAGAGAUAUAUCACGAGAGCUAGCAUGGACAUGAAUGAAAAGUUUAGCAAGAACAUGGAUCCAGAACCACCAAAGAAAGCAAGAAACAAACAUUGAUCUGUUAUAUUAUAUUAGCUGGCUAAGAGUGUUUUGCAUCUUUUGUUUCCUUGUACUAAUUAGCAUGAUCACUGCUUUAACAAAUGAAGGAUGCUACUGGUGGCAAUUUCUUGUUGAUAUUAUGAGAUAAGCCGUAUUAUGCAAUUUCAACUGCUUUAAGAGUGUCGAAUUUUCCAGUUACCUCACUUAUGAAAAUUCGUUCUCCAGUUACCUCU